AGUGAACGCUGGCGGUAGGCCUAACACAUGCAAGUCGAACGGCAGCACAGUAAGAGCUUGCUCUUACGGGUGGCGAGUGGCGGACGGGUGAGGAAUACAUCGGAAUCUACUUUUUCGUGGGGGAUAACGUAGGGAAACUUACGCUAAUACCGCAUACGAUCUACGGGUGAAAGCAGUGGAUCUUCGGACCUUGCGCGACUGAAUGAGCCGAUGUCGGAUUAGCUAGUUGGCGGGGUAAAGGCCCACCAAGGCGACGAUCCGUAGCUGGUCUGAGAGGAUGAUCAGCCACACUGGAACUGAGACACGGUCCAGACUCCUACGGGAGGCAGCAGUGGGGAAUAUUGGACAAUGGGCGCAAGCCUGAUCCAGCCAUACCGCGUGGGUGAAGAAGGCCUUCGGGUUGUAAAGCCCUUUUGUUGGGAAAGAAAAGCAGCAGGUUAAUACCCCGCUGUUCUGACGGUACCCAAAGAAUAAGCACCGGCUAACUUCGUG
rnacentral:rRNA from 1 species